UACGUAGGUGGCAAGCGUUGUCCGGAUUUACUGGGCGUAAAGGAUGCGUAGGCGGACAUUUAAGUCAGAUGUGAAAUACCCGAGCUUAACUUGGGUGCUGCAUUUGAAACUGGGUGUCUAGAGUGCAGGAGAGGUAAGUGGAAUUCCUAGUGUAGCGGUGAAAUGCGUAGAGAUUAGGAAGAACACCAGUGGCGAAGGCGGCUUUCUGGUCUGUAACUGACGCUGAGGCGCGAAAGCGUGGGGAGCAAACAGG
rnacentral:rRNA from 1 species